rnacentral:rRNA from 1 species
CCUACGGGAGGCAGCAGUGGGGAAUAUUGCACAAUGGGGGAAACCCUGAUGCAGCGACGCCGCGUGAGUGAAGAAGGAAUUCGUGAUGGAAAGCUCUAUCAGCAGGGAAGAAAAUGACGGUACCUGAGUAAGAAGCCCCGGCUAACUACGUGCCAGCAGCCGCGGUAAGACGUAGGGGGCAAGCGUUAUCCGGAUUUACUGGGUGUAAAGGGAGCGUAGACGGCAGUGCAAGUCUGGAGUGAAAGGCGGGGGCUCAACCCCCGGACGGCUCGGGAAACUGUCCGGCGGGAGUGCAGGAGAGGUAAGUGGACUUCCUCGUGUCGCGGUUCACUGCUUAGAUAUUAGGAG